UUUACCUACGGGGCGCAGCAGUGGGGGAUAUUGCACAAUGGGGGAAACCCUGAUGCAGCGACGCCGCGUGAGUGAAGAAGUAAUUCGUUACGUAAAGCUCUAUCAGCAGGGAAGAAAAUGACGGUACCUGAGUAAGAAGCCCCGGCUAACUACGUGCCAGCAGCCGCGGUAAUACGUAGGGGGCAAGCGUUAUCCGGAUUUACUGGGUGUAAAGGGAGCGGAGACGGUACGCCAAGUCUGAAGUGAAAUGCCGCAGCUUAACUGCGGAACUGCUUUGGAAACGGGCGGGGUGGAGUGCGGGAGGG
rnacentral:rRNA from 1 species